CAUGCCGGGUUAAUGAAUUUCGUCUACAACAGAAGGCACUUUGUCGCGAAGAAGGUACCGAGCCGCGUACCUAUCGCGCCGCACGUGCACUUAUAACGCUGUUCAGCGAGGCUAAGCGGGAAGCAGUAUAUCGUAACCGACUUCCGUUGCUAUUAACGCACGUCAGUACUGGCUUUCCGCGUGCGAUAAGCACCAGGUACAAAGUGCAACGAUUACGAAAACGAUAGAAACGGUUUCUUUACCGAGCGAAUGUAACUCGGCUCCGUACUCGUGGCCGAAAAAUCAUACGAUCGAUUCGAGGAGUAAGGUGGUUAACGAUGCUAGAAUGGUUGGAAGGUAGCAAAGGUAGUCGGUGUGCAAGUCGAGAAAAAAAAGAACGUUGCGAGUUAGAAGGAGGAAGGGUAAAAGGCGAAGAGAAAAGAGCGGUCGAGUAAAAAGGAAAGAGUAGAGAGACAGGAGGACAGAGAGGAACCGUGAGCUCUGGUCGGUCGGUCGGACGGUAUAUAAUAAGACAGACAGGAGGAUAGCACCGAAAUGAGGUGGUUUCGUCGGCAGCUUUGUCCGGCGCCAUGUUUAACAUAGCACCACCUCAUCUACGUGCCACGCCGACCCGCCACUCCGUAGUUCCUCUGUUUUUACGCCACCUCUUUCUCGAUCUCCUUUCCAUUCCUCCUUCUUCACCGUUUCCUCUAUUACAACACUUCUCUCUCGCUACGCGACGGCAUGAACGAAUCGAAUCUCCUCGCCCUUCCCGUACAAGGUGAUUAUUAUCAAGCAACGUCGAUCGCGAACAAACGAUGACGAUCGAUUUGCUUUUUCUCGGCUUAUUAAACUCGCAACAGAGAGCGUGUGUACAGGGUCGGAGCUACGCGAAUCUCCAAAAGGUCGGGGGGAAAAAAAAAGGAAAAGGACGAAUCCAGAUUCCGCGAAAAAUCGGGGCGGCUCGAAAGUGGAAAAGAUUCGAACGAAUACGGGGCGAGAAUAAAAAGCAUAACUCCGGCCUAUCUUUGAGUGAAAAAGAGGAGAACAAGAGGAAGGUCCGAGAUAGGAGAACGAGCGAUUAUCGUUGACAUUUUCUAUAAAUAAGGUUUACGUUAUUCGCUCGACUUCGGUGGAAAUGAAAACAACGUCAUCCAGAUGUGUUAGUCGUACACGUCACCGUAGGCAUCUCGCUGCUCCAAAGUUAAAGGCGCGUAAGGAGACCGGAGUUCGGGACAAGUCUCCAGGAGAGGAGAAGAGGAGGAGGAGAGAGGCGAGCUGGAAUGGAAUGCGCGGCGCCUAGGGCUCGUUGAAUUCCAGGGCCACACGUGCCCUUCCCCUCGCCGCGGGCACACACCGCUGCCAAUAAACUUCGCCUGCGGCUGGCACUCGCGCCGACCACCAUAGAACUCAUUCAUGGAGACCUCCUAUCACGCGCUCAUAAAUUGCGCCUCUUGAAAUUCACCGACCCUGCCAUCUACCGGCAAUUCGAUCAACUUGCUCGAAUCUUUUAACUCGAUAUUUUACCACUGUCGAUAACUCGAUGGCUCCAAUUAGGGGUACACAUUUUUAUUUUUAUUUUUUAUUUUUUUCAUAGAAGAAGAAAAUAAAAUGAGUAAAAAAUAUUGAUAUAAUUUGAACGUUUCGAACAUGUUCUCUGAGAAUGUUUGAAGCGAUCGGUUUAACCGUUCAACGCCGGGUGAUUUGUUAUAAUGAAUUUGAUAGGCAUGAUUGAUCUAACCGAACGACUUUAGAUUGCACGUAUUAAAGUUUGAUCGAAAUAUAGUUAUAGCCUACUCUGGAUACUAUUCAUAGCGCAGUGAUCCGCUACUAAAAUUCUAUUUCCACCGUAUUUUUUAAUGGCGCAAUAUCGAUAGACGUACUUACUUCCUUUAUCUCCUAUUUUACAUACAAUUAACACCCCAUCGAUAACCAGCGUACGAGAUUUACGCCGAGAUAUUCUUGAGAUUCGUUAAAACGUAAACGUUUCGCUUACCUUGCAUUUUCAAAAGUUGCUGAUGCACUACUGCCUACUGCCGCGAAUCCGACUCCAACUGCAAGCCCCUCUGGAAUGUUGUGCACCUAAUUUGAUGCAAAAGUAUGAUUUUGAUAAACUUAUGAUAUAUAGACUUUGACCAUUAUUAAAUUUACGUACCGUAAUAGCAACGACUAGCAACAAUACUCUUCUCCACUGAUUAUUUUUGCAUUCAUUGUUAGGAUCCUCGUAAACUGCCCCGACUUCUCCUUGCUCUUCUGGUCUGUUUAUCCUUGCGAUUUGACGCCUUCUGCUAUUUUGUUCGUAAAAACCUAAAAAACGGCAUUGGUUUACUGGCAUUUUAGCAUCGCAACAUUUUGUCAUAAAUCACAGUAAUCACAGAAAUCAACAAGUAAGCUUAGUGUAUGUAAUUAUAAGCGAUAAAUUUUUCUUUCUCUCCGUUAUUCUUGCGACAAAGCAAGCGAAAAGCUUCUGUAAAGCUUGUGAAUUGUUUAGCCCGGUGUGUUUCAUUUGCUUUAACGUUUCGCACGUUAGAUCCGCAGGCAGGAUUAAUAAGAUCAGUUUUGUCAAUUCGUGGAAUUUUCGUUCGGUAUGUAGAUCACAUGAUAUACCGAUAUAACUUACACGCUAAUUGCAUUACGCUGACGAUGCAACUAACUCAAACAACCGGAUACUAUAUUUGUGUUUCUUUUUAUCGUGCAUACUCCUUUUGUUGCUCUCAGAAUAUUUGCAUGCGUACGCUAUUGUGUUUUUUAAUAUAAAUUUCUAUAUGCGAAGCAAUCUAACGCGUUAACAAACGUACCAAACGAUAAAAAUAACGUAAAAUUGGAGAAAAUUGUUAGGAGGGAAAACGAUAUACUUAUCAGAAAUAAAAAAAAAAAAAAAAAAAAAAAAA